rnacentral:rRNA from 1 species
UACGAAGGGGGCUAGCGUUGCUCGGAAUUACUGGGCGUAAAGGGCGCGUAGGCGGACAGUUUAGUCGGGGGUGAAAGCCCGGGGCUCAACCCCGGAACUGCCUUCGAUACUGGCUGUCUUGAGUACGGGAGAGGUGUGUGGAACUCCGAGUGUAGAGGUGAAAUUCGUAGACAUUCGGAAGAACACCAGUGGCGAAGGCGACACACUGGCCCGUUACUGACGCUGUGGCGCGAAAGCGUGGGGAGCAAACAGG